rnacentral:rRNA from 1 species
GACGAACGCUGGCGGCGUGCUUAACACAUGCAAGUCGAACGGAAAGGCCCUGCUUUUGUGGGGUGCUCGAGUGGCGAACGGGUGAGUAACACGUGAGUAACCUGCCCUUGACUUUGUGAUAACUUCAGGAAACUGGGGCUAAUACCGGAUAGGAGCUCCUGCUGCAUGGUGGGGGUUGGAAAGUUUCGGCGGUUGGGGAUGUACUCGCGGCUUAUCAGCUUGUUGGUGGGGUAGUGGCUUACCAAGGCUUUGACGGGUAGCCGGCCUGAGAGGUUGAACGGCCACAUUGGGACUGAGAGACGGACCAGACUCCUACGGGAGGCAGCAGUGGGGAAUAUUGCACAAUGGGCGGAAGCCUGAUGCAGCAACGCCGCGUGCGGGAUGACGGCCUUCGGGUUGUAAACCGCUUUAGCCUGUGACGAAGCGUGAGUGACGGUAAUGGGUAAAGAAGCACCGGCUAACUACGUG